CCCCCUCCCUCCUCCCUCCCCGUACCUUCCCUCUGGGGUCUCAGUGCACCAGCCCCAAGCAUCCAGUAUCAUGCAUCGAACCUGAAAGUCAGCUCUAGUUAGCUGUGUUUGGGGGAAAAUUAUUUUCCAGAAGGUCCAUUUUAUAAGCACCAUAUGGUCACUGACAUUCAUUCAACAAAUGGCUAAUGAAUACCUGCCAUGCACCAUGCACCCUCCUUGCCACUGGAUAUGAAAAUUGGCAAUUAUGGGUCUGUCUUCAUAAAACUCAUUGUUCUCAAAGGAUAAGAAAAUGUGUGACCCAAAAAAUUAUUUCAAAGCCUGGAGGAGUCAGAGGCAAGUUAUUCAGAUCUAGAUUGAGAAGAGGAACGAGGGAGGGUUUUAUUAAGAAGAUGUUACUUAACUAGAUCUUAGGUGAUGAGUCUACCAGGUAGAUAAAAUAAGGAAUAACAUUGCUUAAAAAGGGGAAAAUUAUGCUAUGUGCAAAAGAUUGACUUCAACAGGAGCAUCAAACAACCUCUACAAUCUCCAAGCCUGGAUAAUUCUGAUAAAUGUCUCUUGAUAGGACUUUGUGAAAGGACCAUCUUCUUGGCUAGAGCUCUUCAUAAGCUGUACUCCAAGAAGAGAAUGUCUCUCCUAUUUUUAAAGACUUUUUAAGAAGUCCGCAGUCAUCCUGGGAGGUCCACAGCUUUGAGUCACAGAACUUUAUUAACACAGAUGGUGUUUAACAGCUCUCAGUGUGGGAAGGAAGGGAUUUUCCAAGAGGGAUCCAGGGCCAAUUUUGAGGGUUUAAUACUUUGAAUAGAGAAUAACCUUGAUGCAGCCAUGAGCUGGGAUUUUCCCAUGAAUAUACCACGGGAGACAGGAUAUGGUAAUGUCAGAUGAAACAGCUAACUUUUUUAAAAUCUUUAGGAACAAUGGGUGAGUUUAAGGAAAGACUCAUUAAUGGAAGUAGAUUUCCGUUAGUCACAAGAUUUGCCUUGGUUACAUGUUCCCUUACUCAUGGAUUCCCUAGAGUGUCCCACACUCCCUUCCUUCACUUUACUUAAUCAUAUUAUAAGUUGUCUCUUAGACAAUCUCACAUGCUCUGUGUGGUUUAUGCUCACUGACAAACUCAAACCCUCUGAGUCUGUCUGUGCUUUUUACAAAGACACACACACCCUUAUACACAUUUAGAUCCAAUUCAUAGUUAACUCUAGUUAAAUGACCUUAUUAGCAAAUGAAACUGAGCCAAGAAGUCAGCAGUAGGAGGCAGUCUCAGCUAUACUUUUAAUGGAAUUAUUUAGGAUAAACAAGCCAAUUUUUUAGAUGUUUUUUGUUCUGGAACUUAGAGGAAGGCAACAUAAGAUCCAUAAGGGUGAGAUUUUCAUCUAUCUUACUCAUCACUGAAUCUCCAGCUCUCAAAAUAAUGUCUGAUACCUAGCAGGCACUAAACAGAUGUUUGAAUAUAUAAUUGAGUGAGGUUUUUCUCUUCCUUGUAGAAAUUGUUNNNNNNNNNNNNNNNNNNNNNNNNNNNNNNNNNNNNNNNNNNNNNNNNNNNNNNNNNNNNNNNNNNNNNNNNNNNNNNNNNNNNNNNNNNNNNNUUUAUGUUUUUUUAAAUAUAUAUAUUUUAUUGAAGUAUAGUUGACUUACAAUGUUUCCAAUGCAUAGCAAGGUGAUUCGGUUACACAAAAUACACAUAUAUUAUUUUUGAAAUUAUUUUCCAUCAUAGGUUAUUACAAGAUACUGACUAUAGUUCCCUAUGCUAUACAGUAAACUUUAUUCGCUUGUUGCAUAUCUAUUUUUUAAUUAGAAAUUUAGCAUUCUAUUCAUACGAAGUCAACUAAGUAGAAUCAAGAUGUCAUAAUUUUCUUAGUUAGGCAAAAAUUCAUAAGUUUUAUAAAAUAUAUAUCAUGCAUAUAUAUGUAUACAAUAGUUUUUCUACUACACUUGAUAAAGAGUUGAGAAAGAACAUCAAAAACAAAUGGAGAAAUUGGAGAACAUAAACUAAAUGAAAUGGGAGCACUGAAUAUG
ensembl:lncRNA